GCCUCUCUUAUGGGAGGGAGUCCUGCUGUUUGCACUCAACAGCGCCGCAGGAGUCCACUUUUAUUCUUAACAGUUUCAAUCUAACUUUGAGGGCUCCUCCCUCUGGCCUCCCUCUGAGGCUAUCUGGGCAUUUAGGUAGUUUCCAAUUCUCAGUGGAAAUUAACCCCCAGGACAUCCAUCAUUAAACAUGAAGGUUUUCCCCCACUUUCCUGAAAGUUACUGAGGACAAUUCUCAGAAGUGGAAAUCAUGGGGCCCAAAGAACUGAGAGUUCUCUUUGAAGCUAUCAUCAAAACUAUCUUCUAAAAGGCCUGUCCAGAGCCCAGCAGUACAACAUGGCCACCAUUAGCCAUCCCACUGUGGGGAAAAUGUGUGUGUGUGUGUGUGUGUGUGUGUGUGUGUGGUGCAGAAGCCAAAGGUCUUACUGACCUGGCACUGGAACCCAAUAAAUAACCUAGACUCACUAA
ensembl:lincRNA Gm38150 predicted gene, 38150